rnacentral:rRNA from 1 species
AUGGUUUCUCUCUUAGCCAACUUGGUUUGUUCAGGAAAGUAUGGGUGUGUGUACAAAGAUAGAAUUGAGUCUGAAGAACAUGCAGUUGCCAUCAAAGUUUUCAAACUUGAUCAGCCUGGAGGGACUAAAAGCUUCGUGGCUGAAUGUCAGGCACUCAGAAACACUCGUCAUCGUAAUCUGGUAAGGGUGAUCACUGUAUGCUCGACAAGUGAUCUGACAGGACAUGAGUUCAAAGCUCUUCUCCUUGAAUAUAUGGUUAAUGGCAACCUUGAAAGUUGGCUCCAUCCAACACUCCACGAGCAUCAUCUGAAAAGGCCCUUGUCUUUGAGUUCAAGAAUAGCAAUAAUAGUGGACAUAGAAGCCGCUUUGGAUUACCUGCAUAACCAUUGCAUGCCUCCUAUGACACACUGUGAUCUGAAGCCAAGCAAUGUCCUUCUGGAUGAUGUCAUGGGUGCAUGUGUUGGCGACUUCGGGUUGACUAAGUUCGUACACAGUUAUACUUCAACAAUUGAUGGUUCUACAAGCUUAGUUGGACCAAGAGGAUCAGUUGGAUACAUUGCACCAGAAUAUGGCUUUGGGAGCAAAAUCUCCACUGAGGGUGAUGUAUACAGCUAUGGAGUUAUCAUCUUAGAAAUGCUCACAGGAAAGCGUCCAACUGAUGAGAUGUUUAAAGAUGGCCUGAGCCUUUACAAUUUUGUGGAAAAAUCAUUUCCUGAAAAGAUUGGUGAGAUUCUAGAUCCGAGAAUCAUUCCCUGUUAUGCGGACCAAGAUGAAGAAGCAGGAAGGGCUGUGCACCAAGAAAAUCAUCAUCAAAUGGCUGGAAUGAGCUGCAUCAUCAGGCUUGUUAAGAUUGGCCUCAUGUGCGCUGCGGAGACACCCAAGUAUCGGCCCUCGAUGCAGGACGUUUACAUUGAGGUCACCGCAAUCAAAGAAGCAUUUUCAGCACUACAGGGUUGA